AGAGGGAUUAGAGCCCCUAAUUCUUCGUCCACAGGUAUAAAGUGGGCCAGGGGACCGCAAAAAUCACAAAGGAAUCAAACAAAAUCCAUUCAGGGAAACCCACGUUGAUAAUUUUAUCUGGCGCUUUAAGAGGGGCAAGACAAAGUCAGCACAACGUGUAAAGAGCGGCAUCUCAGUUAGUUUCCAUCACGGUUACCUUCAGUGCGCGGACGCCGCCACCGUCUCUCUGGUGCAGACGUCCAACGUCCAGAUCCAAACUCUGUCGUACAGUUAGGCUGUGAUCCCCCUGAGCGCCGAGCAGGUGGUGCCGGCGGGCUGCGCCGUGGCCAUCGCGUCCGACCGAUGCACCGUCAACCUCAUGAUCAAGGGUCUGAUCGACGUGGACAAAGAAUUGUCCAAGCUGUCCAAGAUGGCCACCGGCGACUACAGGGACAAGGUGCCGCUCAAGGUGCAGCAGCAGGAUGGCGAAAAGCUGCGACAAAGUCAGACGGAGCUGGACAAAGUCCAAGAAGCCAUGGACAACUUUAGCAAGAUGAAAUAAUGCGUCAUCGUCAAAAUCAUCAUCAUCAUGUUGAUUUGUGAAUUUUUAUUCCAAGUGUUGUAAAAAAAAUUGGAUUAAAAAAAAAAUCUAGUCAAUGUCUAA